GUUGUUGGGUAGGGGAGCGUUCUGUAAGCCUGUGAAGGUGGCCUGUGAGGGUUGCUGGAGGUAUCAGAAGUGCGAAUGCUGACAUAAGUAACGAUAAAGCGGGUGAAAAGCCCGCUCGCCGGAAGACCAAGGGUUCCUGUCCAACGUUAAUCGGGGCAGGGUGAGUCGACCCCUAAGGCGAGGCCGAAAGGCGUAGUCGAUGGGAAACGGGUUAAUAUUCCCGUACUUGGUGUUACUGCGAAGGGGGGACGGAGAAGGCUAUGUUGGCCGGGCGACGGUUGUCCCGGUUUAAGCGUGUAGGUGUGUGUUCCAGGUAAAUCCGGUUCACUUUAACACUGAGGCGUGACGACGAGGCACUACGGUGCUGAAGCAACAAAUGCCCUGCUUCCAGGAAAAGCCUCUAAGCAUCAGGUAACAUCAAAUCGUACCCCAAACCGACACAGGUGGUCAGGUAGAGAAUACCAAGGCGCUUGAGAGAACUCGGGUGAAGGAACUAGGCAAAAUGGUGCCGUAACUUCGGGAGAAGGCACGCUGACAUGUAGGUGAAGUGAUUUACUCAUGGAGCUGAAGUCAGUCGAAGAUACCAGCUGGCUGCAACUGUUUAUUAAAAACACAGCACUGUGCAAACACGAAAGUGGACGUAUACGGUGUGACGCCUGCCCGGUGCCGGAAGGUUAAUUGAUGGGGUCAGCGCAAGCGAAGCUCCUGAUCGAAGCCCCGGUAAACGGCGGCCGUAACUAUAACGGUCCUAAGGUAGCGAAAUUCCUUGUCGGGUAAGUUCCGACCUGCACGAAUGGCGUAAUGAUGGCCAGGCUGUCUCCACCCGAGACUCAGUGAAAUUGAACUCGCUGUGAAGAUGCAGUGUACCCGCGGCAAGACGGAAAGACCCCGUGAACCUUUACUAUAGCUUGACACUGAACAUUGAGCCUUGAUGUGUAGGAUAGGUGGGAGGCUUUGAAGUGUGGACGCCAGUCUGCAUGGAGCCGACCUUGAAAUACCACCCUUUAAUGUUUGAUGUUCUAACGUGGACCCGUUAUCCGGGUUGCGGACAGUGUCUGGUGGGUAGUUUGACUGGGGCGGUCUCCUCCUAAAGAGUAACGGAGGAGCACGAAGGUUGGCUAAUCCUGGUCGGACAUCAGGAGGUUAGUGCAAUGGCAUAAGCCAGCUUGACUGCGAGCGUGACGGCGCGAGCAGGUGCGAAAGCAGGUCAUAGUGAUCCGGUGGUUCUGAAUGGAAGGGCCAUCGCUCAACGGAUAAAAGGUACUCCGGGGAUAACAGGCUGAUACCGCCCAAGAGUUCAUAUCGACGGCGGUGUUUGGCACCUCGAUGUCGGCUCAUCACAUCCUGGGGCUGAAGUAGGUCCCAAGGGUAUGGCUGUUCGCCAUUUAAAGUGGUACGCGAGCUGGGUUUAGAACGUCGUGAGACAGUUCGGUCCCUAUCUGCCGUGGGCGCUGGAGAACUGAGGGGGGCUGCUCCUAGUACGAGAGGACCGGAGUGGACGCAUCACUGGUGUUCGGGUUGUCAUGCCAAUGGCACUGCCCGGUAGCUAAAUGCGGAAGAGAUAAGUGCUGAAAGCAUCUAAGCACGAAACUUGCCCCGAGAUGAGUUCUCCCUGAGACUUAGAGUCUCCUGAAGGAACGUUGAAGACGACGACGUUGAUAGGCCGGGUGUGUAAGCGCAGCGAUGCGUUGAGCUAACCGGUACUAAUGAACCGUGAGGCUUAACCUU
rnacentral:rRNA from 1 species